GGACUACCCGGGUAUCUAAUCCUGUUUGCUCCCCUAGCUUUCGUGCAUCAGUGUCAGGAGUUGUCCAGGGACCCGCCUUCGCCGCUGGUGUUCCUCUCGAUAUCUACGCAUUUCACUGCUACACCGAGAAUUCCAGUCCCCCCUCCAACCCUCGAGCGGAAUAGUAUUCGACGCAGUUUCCGGGUUGAGCCCGGAGAUUUCACGCCAAACUUACCCCGCCACCUACGCACCCUUUACGCCCAGUGAAUCCGAACAACGCUUGGGACCUCUGUAUUACCGCGGCUGCUGGCAC
rnacentral:rRNA from 1 species